GCCCUUAGAGUUUGAUCCUGGCUCAGGACGAACGCUGGCGGCGUGCUUAACACAUGCAAGUUGAACGUUCCGCCCUUUUUGGCCUUCGGGCCAUAAAGGACCACGGAAAGUGGCGGACGGGUGAGUAACGCGUGGAGAACCUAUCCUCAAGUUGAGGAUAACCUGGCGAAAGUCGGGCUAAUCCUGAAUAAGCUGACAGAUGAGCAUUCAUCAGUCAAAAAAGGUGCUUUUUAGCAUCGCUUAAGGAGGGCUCCGCGUCGGAUUAGCUAGCUGGUAGGGUAAAAGCCUACCAGGGCAACAGUCCGUAGCUGGUCUGAGAGGAUUAUCCCCCACACUGGUACUGAGACACGGACCAGACUCCUACGGGAGGCAGCAGUAAGGAAUAUUGGGCAAUGGAGGCAACUCUGACCCAGCCAUGCCGCGUGCAGGAAGACUGCCCUAUGGGUUGUAAACUGCUUUUGUAUGGACUAACCGUGGUUACGUGUAACCGCCUGCAUGUACCAUACGAAUAA
rnacentral:rRNA from 1 species